CCUACGGGUGGCAGCAGUGAGGAAUAUUGGUCAAUGGACGCAAGUCUGAACCAGCCAUGCCGCGUGAGGGAAGACGGCUCUAUGAGUUGUAAACUGCUUUUGUACGGGGGUAAAUCGCGAUACGUGUCUCGGGUCGAAAGUAUCGUAUGAAUCAGGAUAGGCUAACUCCGUGCCAGCAGCCGCGGUAAUACGGAGGAUUCAAGCGUUGUCCGGAUUUAUUGGGUUUAAAGGGUGCGUAGGCGGUUCGUUAAGUUAGAGGUGAAAUCCCGGGGCUCAACUCCGGCACUGCCUCUGAUACUGGCGAUCUUGAGUUUAGUUGAGGUAGGCGGAAUGUAUGGUGUAGCGGUGAAAUGCAUAGAGAUCAUACAGAACACCGAUGGCGAAGGCAGCUUACCAAACUACGACUGACGUUGAGGCACGAAAGCGUGGGGAGCAAACAGGAUUAGAUACCCGUGUAGUC
rnacentral:rRNA from 1 species